rnacentral:rRNA from 1 species
CCUACGGGAGGCAGCAGUGAGGAAUAUUGGUCAAUGGGCGCGAGCCUGAACCAGCCAAGUAGCGUGAAGGAUGACUGCCCUACGGGUUGUAAACUUCUUUUAUAAAGGAAUAAAGUGAGGCACGUGUGCCUUUUUGUAUGGACUUUAUGAAUAAGGAUCGGGUAACUCCGUGCCAGCAGCCGCGGUAAUACGGAGGGUCCGAGUGUUAUCCGGAUUUAUUGGGUUUAAAGGGAGCGUAGAUGGGUUGGUAAGUCAGUUGUGAAAGUUUGCGGCUCAACCGUAAAAUUGCAAUUGAUACUGGCCGUCUUGAGUACAGGUGAGGUAAGCGGAAUUCGUAGUGUAGCGGUGAAAUGCUUAGAUAUCACGAAGAACUCCGAUUGCGAAGGCAGCUUACUAAACUGCCACUGACAUUGAUGCUCGAAAGUGUGGGUAUCAAACAGGAUUAGAUACCCGAGUAGUC